rnacentral:tRNA from 2 species
GGCCGUGUGCCCGAGUGGUUCAGGGAUUCGCCUGCACUGCAUCGAUCAGCGAGCUCCGCUCGCGGGGAAUUACGCGGGUUCGAUUCCCGCCACGGCCU